rnacentral:rRNA from 1 species
CUACGGAGGGUGCAAGCGUUACUCGGAAUCACUGGGCGUAAAGGACGCGUAGGCGGGAUAGUAAGUCUGAUGUGAAAUCCUAUGGCUCAACCAUAGAACUGCAUUGGAAACUACUGACCUAGAGUAUGGGAGGGGGAGAUGGAAUUAGUAGUGUAGGGGUAAAAUCCGUAGAUAUUACUAGGAAUACCGAAAGCGAAGGCGAUCUCCUGGAACAAUACUGACGCUAAGGCGUGAAAGCGUGGGGAGCAAACAGGAUUAGAUACCCUAGUAGUCC